rnacentral:rRNA from 1 species
AUACGGAGGGUGCAAGUGUUACUCGGAAUCACUGGGCGUAAAGCGCGCGCAGGCGGUCUUUUAAGUUGGAUGUGAAAGCCUACGGCUCAACCGUAGAACUGCAUCCAAAACUAUUAGACUAGAGUGUGGGAGAGGAAGAUGGAAUUAGUUGUGUAGGGGUAAAAUCCGUAGAGAUAACUAGGAAUACCAAAAGCGAAGGCAAUCUUCUGGAACACUACUGACGCUGAGGCGCGAAAGCGUGGGGAGCAAACAGGAUUAGAAACCCCUGUAGUCC